GGGUAAGCCAGAGCCAAUAGACAGAGGAUAUGCAAGCAUUCCUCUAGGCAGUGAAUGGAAGCAUGCUUGGCAUUUGCAACAUCAAGAAGGCCAGAGUGGAGGGGGUUGAUUCUGAGAAGGAAAAUAGGGCAGGAUAUAAAGUCAAACAGGUUAGCAGGAACGUCAGAGUCCAUGGAGCCUUGAUGGUCAUAGUCAUCUGAGAUAAAAAGUUGUUGCAGGCUUUGGGCAGAGAUGAUGUUCUGUUUUAUAAUUAACAGGAGCACUUGGCUACCAUGUGGACAGGAGAUGGUAGCAGGCAAGAAGUGGAGGCCAAGAAGCCAGUGUGGAGCCAGGGAACAUUUCAGGUGAAGAGGAUGACUCUAAUUCUCUGGGUUUCCAGCUCAAUAGUUCUUAGCCAAUAGAGACUUUACAGACAUCUCUUCUAUAAUUGCAAAAAUAAUGAUGAUGAUGAUGUUGAUGCUGUGGAGAGAAUAAAGCCACCAGCAGACAUAGAUGGAGCACAGAGGUUAAUAGAGAGCUGUGAUAUCAUGGAACCAAGGCCAGUAUUUCGCAAAACAUAACUGAAGCUUAUAUUCAUUAGAUAGAAAGCAUCACAAAACAACCAGAAGACUUCUAAAUGGAAGAUUCCAAAUACCACAGUCAAGAUUGUGAUACGGGAGCAUAUUUUAGAAGCCAAUACUGUCAGUUCCCACAUUUGGUCUAUCUGGCAACCAUGGAGAUGUCAAGUCCAGAGGACCACCCAGUCUUCAUCUCUCUGCCUGUGGGGUUAGAUUCAGGGAAACAGCCACAGGAGAACAGAAAACAGAACAAAGGCCAGAUAUUGUCAAGAAACCCAUUUAGCACAAAGAGGUAAAUGUUUAUUUGAAUUGUGACAAAUGUUGUUAGUAGAAGAUCAAGAUGUGUGGUAGCUUUAAGCUCUUUGUCAUUGCAAAUACUCUAAACACAGAGCUUGAGUGGAGGAUCACUUAAGUCAUGACAAUGCGUCCUGGAAUUAAAGGUGACAGGAAUGAAAAGCAGAGAUUGAUGACAAGUGUGUUCUUUUACAAAGCUCUCUCCUAUUCUGAUUUUCCUAAUGUCAGCUUCUUUGAAAGAAUUAAAAUAAAUGAAAAGAUUACUUAUUUACA
rnacentral:lncRNA from 12 species